GAUUUGAGUCCAAAGAUAUUAUGAUGGUCGAUGUCAGCGAUCAUCUCAUAAAAUACUAUAUGGACCCUGCAAUAUGUACAACAUUUUCAUUUACGGAGACAGUAGUUAUCGGAUUAAUACUUCGCAAUCAAUUCUUAAGUACCAAACAACUGUACGCCAAUUUAAAAACAUUCUCCACAUACUUCUCCCUGAAUUACAAUACAGAAUUAAAUUUAAAAUCUAUAAAAACUACAAUCAUAUCACUAAGAAAAAAAAAUAUAAUAAGGUCAACAAUGAAACACAAUAAAUCAGCAUUUCACCAUUCAAUAAACAUAUCAAACACUGAUAUUAUUAUAUUAAAAAAAACCUCUCAAUUAUUAAACAAUAUACUUAACAUGCAAGAAACUAAAAUACAAAAAAUAAAAAACAAUCUUAUAAAUAAAAGUCCUCUUAACAUAGACAAAAUGAAAAAAAAAAAUAAAUUACAUUAAUUAUAUUUUAAACCAACUAACAUUACAAAAUUUUGAAAUCCCUGCUUCCGAUCUACCAAAUUAUUAUAACAAUAACAUUAUCCACUAUAAAAAAAAAAUAAAUUCAUUAACUACACAUUUAAAAAACAGCACCUUUCCGCAAAAUAUAAAAAAUAAUUAUAAAGGUUUGCUAACACCCACAACAACACCGGCAAAACAAUCGACAAGCCAAACAAUACUGAUACAAGAUACGCCAGAGCGUUUAAAACAAAAUGUUAAAACCUUUUAUAAAAGAUCAAUAAGAACCGAUGUCUUGUAUAAUUUAAAAACUUUUUCACACAAUGACUACCAUAAAUGACCCUAUGUCUGAUACCUACAGAACAAUGUUUUUUCUGUAUGUAAAUCAAAUAGCCUUAUGUAUUAUUAUAAUAUAUCUCGAUUGGACACUAUUUAUCUUGUGUUGUUAUAUGUUUUUGGAAGUAACCAUGUUUUUUGUACUUUUUUUGGCAUAUACUGCAAUGGUAACGGUCAUCC